rnacentral:rRNA from 1 species
GACGAACGCUGGCGGCGUGCUUAACACAUGCCAGUCGAACGGAAAGGCCCUGCUUUUGUGGGGUGCUCGAGUGGCGAACGGGUGAGUAACACGUGAGUAACCUGCCCUUGACUUUGGGAUAACUUCAGGAAACUGGGGCUAAUACCGGAUAGGAGCUCCUGCUGCAUUGUGGGGGUUGGAAAGUUUCGGCGGUUGGGGAUGGACUCGCGGCUUAUCAGCUUGUUGGUGGGGUAGUGGCUUACCAAGGCUUUGACGGGUAGCCGGCCUGAGAGGGUGACCGGCCACAUGGGGACUGAGAUACGGCCCAGACUCCUACGGGAGGCAGCAGUGGGGAAUAUUGCACAAUGGGCGGAAGCCUGAUGCAGCAACGCCGCGUGCGGGAUGACGACCUUCGGGUUGUAAACCGCUUUCGCCUGUGACGAAGCGUGAGUGACGGUAAUGGGUAAAGAAGCACCGGCUAACUACGUG